UACGAAGGGGGCUAGCGUUGCCCGGAAUCACUGGGCGUAAAGCGCACGUAGGCGGCUUUCUAAGUCAGGGGUGAAAUCCUGGAGCUCAACUCCAGAACUGCCUUUGAUACUGGAGAGCUUGAGUCCGGGAGAGGUGAGUGGAACUCCGAGUGUAGAGGUGAAAUUCGUAGAUAUUCGGAAGAACACCAGUGGCGAAGGCGGCUCACUGGCCCGGUACUGACGCUGAUGUGCGAAAGCGUGGGGAGCAAACAGGG
rnacentral:rRNA from 1 species